ACCCUAGUAGUUUACAAAGAACACUAACUUGUGGCGUUAGAGGUAGCGACGACAACGCUCUAGGGUC
rnacentral:tRNA from 1 species